rnacentral:rRNA from 1 species
AACGAACGCUGGCGGCAGGCUUAACACAUGCAAGUCGAACGCCCCGCAAGGGGAGUGGCCGACGGGUGAGUAACGCGUGGGAAUCUACCCAUCCCUACGGAAUAACGCAUGGAAACGUGUGCUAAUACCGUAUACGCCCUACGGGGGAAAGAUUUAUCGGGGAUGGAUGAGCCCGCGUUGGAUUAGCUCGUUGGUGGGGUAAAGGCCUACCAAGGCGACGAUCCAUAGCUGGUCUGAGAGGAUGAUCAGCCACAUUGGGACUGAGACACGGCCCAAACUCCUACGGGAAGCAGCAGUGGGGAAUAUUGGACAAUGGGCGCAAGCCUGAUCCAGCCAUGCCGCGUGAGUGAUGAAGGCCUUAGGGUUGUAAAGCUCUUUCACCGGAGAAGAUAAUGACGGUAUCCGGAGAAGAAGCCCCGGCUAACUUCGUG